rnacentral:rRNA from 1 species
GACGAACGCUGGCGGCGUGCUUAACACAUGCAAGUCGAACGGAAAGGCCCUGCUUUUGUGGGGUGCUCGAGUGGCGAACGGGUGAGUAACACGUGAGUAACCUGCCCUUGACUUUGGGAUAACUUCAGGUAACUGGGGCUACUACCGUAUAGGAGCUCCUGCUGCAUGGUGGGGGUUGGAAAGUUUCGGCGGUUGGGGAUGGACUCGCGGCUUAUCAGCUUGUUGGUGGGGUAGUGGCUUACCAAGGCUUUGACGGGUAGCCGGCCUGGGAGGGUGACCGGGCACAAGGGGACUGAGAGAGGGACCAGACUGGUACGGGAGGCAGCAGGGGGGAAUAUGGCACAGUGGGCGGAAGCGUGAGGAAGAGACGCCGCGGGCGGGAUGACGGCCUGCGGGGUGUAAACAGCUGUAGCCUGUGACGAAGCGGGAGUGACGGUAAUGGGUGAAGAAGCACCGGCUAACUACGUG